rnacentral:rRNA from 1 species
GGUAAUACCGGAUGCUCCGCUCCAUCGCAUGGUGGGGUGGGAAAUGCUUUUGCGGCAUGGGAUGGGGUCGCGUCCUAUCAGCUUGUUGGCGGGGUGAUGGCCCACCAAGGCGUUGACGGGUAGCCGGCCUGAGAGGGUGACCGGCCACAUUGGGACUGAGAUACGGCCCAGACUCCUACGGGAGGCAGCAGUGGGGAAUAUUGCACAAUGGGCGCAAGCCUGAUGCAGCGACGCCGCGUGCGGGAUGGAGGCCUUCGGGUUGUAAACCGCUUUUGUUCAAGGGCAAGGCACGGUUUCGGCCGUGUUGAGUGGAUUGUUCGAAUAAGCACCGGCUAACUACGUGCCAGCAGCCGCGGUAAUACGUAGGGUGCGAGCGUUAUCCGGAUUUAUUGGGCGUAAAGGGCUCGUAGGCGGUUCGUCGCGUCCGGUGUGAAAGUCCAUCGCCUAACGGUGGAUCUGCGCCGGGUACGGGCGGGCUGGAGUGCGGUAGGGGAGACUGGAAUUCCCGGUGUAACGGUGGAAUGUGUAGAUAUC